rnacentral:rRNA from 1 species
CAGCAGCCACGGUAAUACAGAGGGUGCGAGCGUUAAUCGGAUUUACUGGGCGUAAAGCGUGCGUAGGCGGCUUCUUAAGUCUGAUGUGAAAUCCCUGAGCUUAACUUAGGAAUUGCAUUCGAUACUGGGAAGCUAGAGUAUGGGAGAGGAUGGUAGAAUUCCAGGUGUAGCGGUGAAAUGCGUAGAGAUCUGGAGGAAUACCGAUGGCGAAGGCAGCCAUCUGGCCUAAUACUGACGCUGAGGUACGAAAGCAUGGGGAGCAAACAGGAUUAGAGACCCCCGUAGUCCCUGUCUCUUAUAC